rnacentral:rRNA from 1 species
UACGUAGGGGGCAAGCGUUGUCCGGAAUUACUGGGCGUAAAGAGCAUGUAGGCGGGUAUUUAAGUCAGCUGUGAAAACUAUCGGCUCAACCGGUAGACUGCAGUUGAUACUGGAUAUCUUGAGGGUAUGAGAGGGCAGUGGAAUUCCUAGUGUAGCGGUGAAAUGCGUAGAUAUUAGGAGGAACACCAGUGGCGAAGGCGACUGCCUGGCAUACAACUGACGCUGAGAUGCGAAAGCGUGGGGAGCAAACAGG